GAGGUUAAGCGACUAAGCGUACACGGUGGAUGCCCUGGCAGUCAGAGGCGAUGAAGGGCGUGCUAAUCUGCGAUAAGCGCCGGUAAGGUGAUAUGAACCGUUAUAACCGGCGAUACCCGAAUGGGGAAACCCAGUGUGAUUCGUCACACUAUCAUUAACUGAAUCCAUAGGUUAAUGAGGCGAACCGGGGGAACUGAAACAUCUAAGUACCCCGAGGAAAAGAAAUCAACCGAGAUUCCCCCAGUAGCGGCGAGCGAACGGGGAGGAGCCCAGAGCCUGAAUCAGCAUGUGUGUUAGUGGAAGCGUCUGGAAAGGCGCGCGAUACAGGGUGACAGCCCCGUACACAAAAGCGCAUGUGCUGUGAGCUCGAUGAGUAGGGCGGGACACGUGGUAUCCUGUCUGAAUAUGGGGGGACCAUCCUCCAAGGCUAAAUACUCCUGACUGACCGAUAGUGAACCAGUACCGUGAGGGAAAGGCGAAAAGAACCCCGGCGAGGGGAGUGAAAAAGAACCUGAAACCGUGU
rnacentral:rRNA from 1 species